rnacentral:rRNA from 1 species
ACAUGAAGUCGGAACUGCUAGUAAUCGCGGAUCAGCAUGCCGCGGUGAAUACGUUCCCGGGCCUUGUACACACCGCCCGUCACACCAUGGGAGUCGGUAACACCCGAAGCCUGUAGUCUAACCGCAAGGGGGACGCAGUCGAAGGUGGGAUUGAUGACUGGGGUGAAGUCGUAACAAGGUACC